rnacentral:rRNA from 1 species
UGCCGGAUAACAUAUAGAACCGCAUGGUUCUAUAGUGAAAGAUGGUUUUGCUAUCACUUAUAGAUGGACCCGCGCCGUAUUAGCUAGUUGGUAAGGUAAUGCUUACCAAGGCGACGAUACGUAGCCGACCUGAGAGGGUGAUCGGCCACACUGGAACUGAGACACGGUCCAG